UUAAUUUUCAGGUUCAUCAUGACAAUGCUAAGAAGUCUGCUGCUUCUUUUCAUUGUGUUCUCCAUGGGGAAUGCAGAUGUUGAUAUCGUUGUAAAAUGCCCCUAUGGAUGGACAAACUUUGGAGUCCAAUGCUACAAGUUCUUCUCUCAGUCGGUUAACUGGAUCACAGCAGAGAUAAAGU